UUUAAUUGAAGAGUUUGAUCAUGGCUCAGAUUGAACGCUGGCGGCAGGCCUAACACAUGCAAGUCGAGCGGUAACAGAGAGUA
rnacentral:rRNA from 2 species